rnacentral:lncRNA from 1 species
GCUACCAGAAAUGCAAAGACAGAUAAAACACGGCUCCAGCCCUUCAAAGGAAUUUUUCAUCUAGUUUUAGAGAAAUCGUAGAAAAAAAAGCUGGCCAUGUUGACGGGUAGUAUUUAAGAAUAAAGAGAAGUUCUUAGGUCGACUAUCUUUUUUUCUAUUUUCUCAAGAAAUAUUGUUGAUUGGUUGAAGUGGUCUGUCAAGAAAAGAAAAUGUGUUUGUGUUGACAAGAUAAUUAGGAAGGAAGGAGGAGCCCACUCUAUUUCUAAAUUGUAGCUAAAAUCUUUAAAUGGAGGAAAACAAAGUUUUUAAAGAUAUUCUCCCAGAUGAAAAGCCCUCAGCUUCACCUCAGCAUCCUGAACGACCAAUUGUCAAGGCCUCACUCAACUGAAAGGAAGACUGAACUGGAGGGGAUUCAAUACAAUUUUAUCUGGAUUGAUGUGAUCUGGGGGUCUUUUGCUUGUUUUGGGAAAGGUUUGCUUUUGGGUGUUUU